rnacentral:rRNA from 1 species
GAGUUUGAUCGUGGCUCAGGAUGAACGCUGGCGGCGUGCUUAACACAUGCAAGUCGAGCGAAGCGCUUUGGUUAGAUUCUUCGGAUGAAGACCUUUGUGACUGAGCGGCGGACGGGUGAGUAACGCGUGGGCAACCUGCCUUGCACUGGGGGAUAACAGCCAGAAAUGGCUGCUAAUACCGCAUAAGACCGAAGCGCCGCAUGGCGCGGCGGCCAAAGCCCCGGCGGUGCAAGAUGGGCCCCGCGUCUGAUUAGGUAGUUGGCGGGUAACGGCCCACCAAGCCGACGAUCAGUAGCCGACCUGAGAGGGUGACCGGCCACAUUGGGACUGAGACACGGCCCAGACUCCUACGGGAGGCAGCAGUGGGGAAUAUUGCACAAUGGGGGAAACCCUGAUGCAGCGACGCCGCGUGAGCGAUGAAGUAUUUCGGUAUGUAAAGCUCUAUCAG